UGGGAUGGCUCAGUUAGUAGAGCAUGAGACUCUUAAUCGUAGGGUUGUGGGUUCAAUCCCCACACUGGGUGAAAAG